UUUUGUUUUGUUUUGUUUUAUCUAAAUUAAUAAAUAAAUAUAAUGUUGAAUGAUUUUGUAUACUAGUACAAAUGUAUACUUAAAUUUUAUGUAUGGUUAAAUUUUUUAAUUUAAAUUUCUUUGUCUACAGUUCGAGGGACACUGAUUCCCUAGUGGUUUUCCACGUGGAUUGUAGGCAAAGGGAUUUUUCCUUUUCAAAGUGUGACUAAUGCUGUCUUUUAGUACAAAUAAACAAUUUGUUAUUGGUUAAUAUAUUUUCAGCAGACAUGUGAAGAAUCGAGUGGAAAUACAAUUGUCAAUGUUCCUGAUUAUGAAGUAAAGAGUGUGUUUGAUUCAACAAAAGUAAAGAAAGAGACAAGCCAGCAUAGUUUACACUUGGAGGUUAAGUCCCUUUGCUUACAAGCUUUCCACAUGCUGAAGAUGUUAUUAGAAUAAUGACAAUGUUCAUUUUGAUAUGAAGUUCAUUGCCUUAACUCAACUUUUAAAAGUCCGUAUGUGGUCAAAUUCAUGAGAAUUUAUUGAAUUAUGAACGAUUUAUAAAGAACUGUUUACAUGCA
rnacentral:lncRNA from 1 species